rnacentral:rRNA from 1 species
CUACGGGGUGCACCAGUGGGGAAUAUUGCACAAUGGGCGCAAGCCUGAUGCAGCCAUGCCGCGUGUAUGAAGAAGGCCUUCGGGUUGUAAAGUACUUUCAGCGGGGAGGAAGGGAGUAAAGUUAAUACCUUUGCUCAUUGACGUUACCCGCAGAAGAAGCACCGGCUAAGUCCGUGUCCAGCAGCCGCGGUAAUACGGGGGGUGCAAGCGUUAAUCGGAAUUACUGGGCGUAAAGCGCACGCAGGCGGUUUGUUAAGUCAGAUGUGAAAUCCCCGGGCUCAACCUGGGAACUGCAUCUGAUACUGGCAAGCUUGAGUCUCGUAGAGGGGGGUAGAAUUCCAGGUGUAGCGGUGAAAUGCGUAGAGAUCUGGAGGAAUACCGGUGGCGAAGGCGGCCCCCUGGACGAAGACUGACGCUCAGGUGCGAAAGCGUGGGGAGCAAACAGGAUUAGAUACCUAGUAGUC